rnacentral:ncRNA from 2 species
AAUACAGCCUCGUUCGCCGGUGCCCAACGGGCCUAACAGGGAACGCAGGGCGUGGCUCGCCGCGCCGCUGCGGCUGCCCCCGCCACCGCGUGCAGCGAGUGCGCCGCCCGUCGAUGCCGCGGGAUGCAUGCCGGAAGACGCGCGGCGGCGAGCUGCGCGCCAGCAGACCUGCCGGCCCGAUGAGCGUGCC